AUUGAACGCUGGCGGCAUGCCUUACACAUGCAAGUCGAACGGCAGCACGGGUGCUUGCACCUGGUGGCGAGUGGCGAACGGGUGAGUAAUACAUCGGAACAUGUCCUGUAGUGGGGGAUAGCCCGGCGAAAGCCGGAUUAAUACCGCAUACGAUCUACGGCUGAAAGCGGGGGACCUUCGGGCCUCGCGCUAUAGGGUUGGCCGAUGGCUGAUUAGCUAGUUGGUGGGGUAAAGGCCUACCAAGGCGACGAUCAGUAGCUGGUCUGAGAGGACGACCAGCCACACUGAGACUGAGACACGGCCCAGACUCCUACGGGAGGCAGCAGUGGGGAAUUUUGGACAAUGGGCGAAAGCCUGAUCCAGCAAUGCCGCGUGUGUGAAGAAGGCCUUCGGGUUGUAAAGCACUUUUGUCCGGAAAGAAAUCCUUGGCCCUAAUACGGUCGGGGGAUGACGGUACCGGAAGAAUAAGCACCGGCUAACUACGUG
rnacentral:rRNA from 1 species